AGUAGUAAAUUUAAUUUAAGUUUACCAGAGUACUACGAAUAAAAAAUUUAAAACUCAAAGAGCUUGGCGGUGUUUUAGACCUCUCAGGGGAACCUGUCUCGUAAUCGACAAUCCACGCUAUACCUGGCCCUUUAUAGCAAUUCAGUCUGUAUACCGUUGUCGUCAGGUAACUUCUUAAAAUAUAGUAGUUAGCUCGAGAAUUUUAUUAAUUAAUACGUCAGAUCAAGGUGCAGCUAAUAAAAGGGAGAGGAUGGGUUACAAUUAUAUAUUUAUAAUUACGGAAGAUAUUUCAAAAGAAAUACUCGGAAGGAGGACUUGAAAGUAAUUUUGAUUAGAUAAACAGAAUGAAUAAGGCUCUGAAACGUG
rnacentral:rRNA from 1 species